rnacentral:lncRNA from 1 species
GGGAAGUUGAGAGAGGGCUUCCGGUAAGAGGCAGGUAGUAGGGUUAGUUCCUGCUGAUCAACAGAGCAAAAUAAACAAGAAGCAGGGGAUUUGGGAACUUCUUUCACAAAGGGCUGAAAGAACACAUGGAGGAAAAACAUGAAACUUCCAAGGUGAGUACAGUCCUAUGAGCAAAAACUGCAGACAUCUUUGAGCGAUAGAAGAGACAACUGGGCCUGGGGGCCAGUUCAGUGCGGACCUACAUUUCAACCACCAUGAUGAAGGAGAGCUGUAUGUGGUGCCCUGUGGAUGGUGCAGGUGAGACGUCCAAAGACAGCAUCGCUCACACUGCUCAGGAUGGAUGAGGUACUGAAGGAGGCCAGAUUGGAGGAGCCAGCCUGGGCAGGGCUGUGGCUGCUUCAGGGCAAGGAGCACGUCGACAUUCAAAUGCGCCCUCUUUCCAGUGCUUGGUAGCUGCAUGAGCCCAGUGGAUCCCAGGCUGGAGAGCCACAGACCGCAACCCCAAGGAGCUUCUGUCUGC